UGCCAGCAGCCGCGGUAAUACGUAGGUGGCAAGCGUUGUCCGGAAUUAUUGGGCGUAAAGGAUGCGUAGGCGGUCUUUUAAGUGGGAUGUGAAAUACCCGGGCUUAACUCGGGAGUGGCAUUCCAAACUGGAAGACUAGAGUGCAGGAGAGGAAAGUGGAAUUCCCAGUGUAGCGGUGAAAUGCGUAGAGAUUGGGAGGAACACCAGUGGCGAAGGCGACUUUCUGGACUGUAACUGACGCUGAGGCAUGAAAGCGUGGGGAGCAAACAGGAUUAGAUACCCUGGUAGUCCACGCCGUAAACGAUGAGUACUAGGUGUAGGGGAGCCAUUCUCUGUGCCGCAGUUAACACAUUAAGUACUCCGCCUGGGAAGUACGGUCGCAAGACUAAAACUUAAAGAAAUUGACGG
rnacentral:rRNA from 1 species